AGUGAACGCUGGCGGCGUGCUUAACACAUGCAAGUCGAACGAGAACGGGUUAUAGCUUGCUAUAAUUGUCAGCUAAGUGGCGCACGGGUGAGUAAUGUAUAGGUAAUAUGCCUCUUACUAAGGGAUAACAAAUGGAAACGUUUGCUAAUACCUUAUACUCCUUAUUAACAGAAGUUAAUAAGGGAAAGAUUUAUUGGUAAGAGAUUAGCCUGUAUUGUAUCAGUUAGUUGGUGGGGUAAUUGCUUACCAAGACUAUGACACAUAACUGGUUUGAGAGGAUGAUCAGUCACACUGGAACUGAGACACGGUCCAGACUCCUACGGGAGGCAGCAGUGGGGAAUAUUGCACAAUGGACGAAAGUCUGAUGCAGCAACGCCGCGUGGAGGAUGACACAUUUCGGUGCGUAAACUCCUUUUAUAUGAGAAGAUAAUGACGGUAUUAUACGAAUAAGCACCGGCUAACUCCGUGCCAGCCGCCGCGGUAAGAC
rnacentral:rRNA from 1 species